GCCUGGGCAUGGUGGCACAUGCCUGUAAUCCCAGCAACUCAGGAGGCUGAGGAAGGAGGAUCACAGGUUUGAGGCCAGUCUCAGCAACUUAGUGGGACUCUGUCUCAG
rnacentral:sRNA from 1 species